rnacentral:rRNA from 4 species
AGAGUUUGAUCAUGGCUCAGAUUGAACGCUGGCGGCAGGCCUAACACAUGCAAGUCGAGCGGUAGCACAGAGAGCUUGCUCUCGGGUGACGAGCGGCGGACGGGUGAGUAAUGUCUGGGAAACUGCCUGAUGGAGGGGGAUAACUACUGGAAACGGUAGCUAAUACCGCAUAAUGUCGCAAGACCAAAGUGGGGGACCUUCGGGCCUCAUGCCAUCAGAUGUGCCCAGAUGGGAUUAGCUAGUAGGUGGGGUAACGGCUCACCUAGGCGACGAUCCCUAGCUGGUCUGAGAGGAUGACCAGCCACACUGGAACUGAGACACGGUCCAGACUCCUACGGGAGGCAGCAGUGGGGAAUAUUGCACAAUGGGCGCAAGCCUGAUGCAGCCAUGCCGCGUGUGUGAAGAAGGCCUUCGGGUUGUAAAGCACUUUCAGCGGGGAGGAAGGCGGUGAGGUUAAUAACCUCACCGAUUGACGUUACCCGCAGAAGAAGCACCGGCUAACUCCGUGCCAGCAGCCGCGGUAAUACGGAGGGUGCAAGCGUUAAUCGGAAUUACUGGGCGUAAAGCGCACGCAGGCGGUCUGUCAAGUCGGAUGUGAAAUCCCCGGGCUCAACCUGGGAACUGCAUUCGAAACUGGCAGGCUAGAGUCUUGUAGAGGGGGGUAGAAUUCCAGGUGUAGCGGUGAAAUGCGUAGAGAUCUGGAGGAAUACCGGUGGCGAAGGCGGCCCCCUGGACAAAGACUGACGCUCAGGUGCGAAAGCGUGGGGAGCAAACAGGAUUAGAUACCCUGGUAGUCCACGCCGUAAACGAUGUCGAUUUGGAGGUUGUGCCCUUGAGGCGUGGCUUCCGGAGCUAACGCGUUAAAUCGACCGCCUGGGGAGUACGGCCGCAAGGUUAAAACUCAAAUGAAUUGACGGGGGCCCGCACAAGCGGUGGAGCAUGUGGUUUAAUUCGAUGCAACGCGAAGAACCUUACCUGGUCUUGACAUCCACAGAACUUUCCAGAGAUGGAUUGGUGCCUUCGGGAACUGUGAGACAGGUGCUGCAUGGCUGUCGUCAGCUCGUGUUGUGAAAUGUUGGGUUAAGUCCCGCAACGAGCGCAACCCUUAUCCUUUGUUGCCAGCGGUUCGGCCGGGAACUCAAAGGAGACUGCCAGUGAUAAACUGGAGGAAGGUGGGGAUGACGUCAAGUCAUCAUGGCCCUUACGACCAGGGCUACACACGUGCUACAAUGGCAUAUACAAAGAGAAGCGACCUCGCGAGAGCAAGCGGACCUCAUAAAGUAUGUCGUAGUCCGGAUUGGAGUCUGCAACUCGACUCCAUGAAGUCGGAAUCGCUAGUAAUCGUAGAUCAGAAUGCUACGGUGAAUACGUUCCCGGGCCUUGUACACACCGCCCGUCACACCAUGGGAGUGGGUUGCAAAAGAAGUAGGUAGCUUAACCUUCGGGAGGGCGCUUACCACUUUGUGAUUCAUGACUGGGGUGAAGUCGUAACAAGGUAACCGUAGGGGAACCUGCGGUUGGAUCACCU